AAAUUCAUUGGAUCCAAAAAGUAGAGGAAAUAGCAAAAUUCAGAGAAGUGUGGGUGUGUAAACCCUAGAGAAAAACAGGGAAAACAAAACUACAGAGCACCACAUUUUUAAGCCCAUCUGUAGUUAAUGUUGCCUUUUUCCUUCUCUUUUUCCCCAGAUGAUCAUUUUCGUCAGAUUGCCAUGUUAAUCAAUUGGCUUUUGGUUGUUUUCCUCUCAAGUCACCUGAAGCUUUUCUUCAUGGCACCUGAAGCCGAGGUGUAGGCUAGAAGGGCAGAGGAUAUCUCAGUGCCUGGAAGUGGCCAAGCCUGGUUAGAGCUAAGAGUUUGCAGAAAGUCAUGGAGUCUCAAAGAGAGGCCUCAAAUUUUCCAUCAAAGAAAGUUUAUUAUAACCUGUUGAGAGUCCUCCCACCCACAGGAUUUACUGUCCUGUAAAGAUGGUUUAAACAAGCCCCAGCUGACAACUAAGUUAGGUCUUAAGUAUUCAGUAGAGGGCUGAAAGAGGAAGGAAUUUAAGAAAUUAUUGGGUCAUCCUGAGCCUCGACAAAUCCUGUGCUUCUGGAGCUGCCUGGUUGGCCAGCAACCUCUAUGGAAUCCAGGUGACUCUCCUCAUAUGGAUUUGAUCAGCACUUCGUGUGGUAAUUUCCCAUCAGAUUCUGUGUUCUGUCCUUUCAGAAUCCAAACAUCUUGUUUCUUUUCCUGAAUUUAGGAAAGUUUAAAUUACAACUGUGUUCACAAGGACUGAUUGUUACAGGCCUGUUUUUCAGUGAUAAGUUUGGUCACAAAAUUGAAGGAGGCUUUGAUAUUUGACCCUUGGAUGAAAAAUAAAGUUUGCCUUCACACUAAUGGGAAUCAUGGUUGCCACGUCAAAGUUGGUAUCCUACAUACAGAGAAGAGUACAUGAUUGUCAACAUUUUAAAGUUUAUAGAAAUGUAAUUUAAAUUUUAAUAAACCAUAUUUUGUAUUUUCGUAAUUUAAAAUUGUUACAUUUUAAUU